rnacentral:tRNA from 2 species
GCCAGUGUGGUGGAAUUGGUAGACACGACGGAUUCAAAAUCCGUUGCCGCAAGGUGUGCCGGUUCGAGUCCGGCCACUGGUA